rfam:Triticum aestivum genome assembly, contig: Triticum_aestivum_CS42_TGACv1_scaffold_000006_1AL
AACAUACUCCCUCCGUUCGGAAUUACUCGUCCACCAAAUGGAUGUAUCUAGAUGUAUUUUAGUUGUAUAUACAUCCAUUUUUGUGACAAGUAAUUCUGAACGGAGGGAGUACCUC